GUUUGCAGUAAAGAAGGGGACCUGGUGCAAGAGCUACAAUUUAACCAGAACCAUUCAUUAACCAGGAUCGUUCAUUAACAGGGCAGACUCAGUAGUAGUUUUCAGCUCUCAUAAUUAAACUAAAUUAACUUGAGAAUUCCUUUGCCUAAAUUUGAUCUGACUCCUGUGGGCCUCUGACUCCUGUAAGGCAGGCAGGAACAGCAACUUAAUAAGGUGACCCGGCGGGUGUGAGCCGGCGGCAGGAAGGGACCAGACUCAGCUCUGCCCCAGCAGCCCGCCGGGCUUCGCUCACUGUCUGCUCCCCACGCCGAGGUCCUUUGGAGUCUCCGUGGAGGCUGCUCUGCGGGGAUGGAAUUCUUGCAGCAGACUCAUUGAUGCUCACAGAGAGGUCAGAGUGUAGGAGCUGUCCAGUGAGCGCAGGUUUGUGGAAGGUGAAAUCUUGGCAAGACCUGAAUAACAACCAGGGGGCCAGCGGAGGGUGGGGAGGAGCAUGUAGGAAGGAUUUUAUUCUCACUACCUAAGGCGAUACACGGCAAUUACUAUCGAGGAG
rnacentral:lncRNA from 1 species